GACGAACGCUGGCGGCGUGCUUAACACAUGCAAGUCGAAUGGAAAGGCCCUGCUUGCAGGGUACUCGAGUGGCGAACGGGUGAGUAACACGUGGGUGAUCUGCCCUGCACUUCGGGAUAAGCCUGGGAAACUGGGUCUAAUACCGGAUAGGAGCCAUUUUUAGUGUGAUGGUUGGAAAGUUUUUUCGGUGUAGGAUGAGCUCGCGGCCUAUCAGCUUGUUGGUGGGGUAAUGGCCUACCAAGGCGGCGACGGGUAGCCGCCCUGAGAGGGUGGACGGCCACAUUGGGACUGAGAUACGGCACAGACUCCUACGGGAGGAAGCAGUGGGGAAUAUUGCACCAUGGGCGCAAGCCUGAUGCAGCGACGCCGCGUGGGGGAUGACGGCCUUCGGGUUGUAAACUCCUUUCGCUAGGGACGAAGCUUUUUGUGACGGUACCUAGAUAAGAAGCACCGGCUAACUACGUG
rnacentral:rRNA from 1 species